rnacentral:tRNA from 1 species
GGUGUAGCUCAGUGGCUGAGCAUUUGCCUGCCAUGCACUAGGCCCUGGGCUCAAUCCCUAGCACC